rnacentral:rRNA from 1 species
GACGAAUGCUGGCUGCGUGUUUAACACAUGCAAGUCGAACGGUGAACAGGGGCUUGCCCCUGGGAUCAGUGGCGAACGGGUGAGUAACACGUGGGCAACCUGCCCCUCACUCUGGGAUAACUCCGGGAAACCGGGGCUAAUACCGGAUACGACCUGGUGCGACAUCGCACCGGGUGGAAAGAACUUCGGUGAGGGAUGGGCCCGCGGCCUAUCAGCUUGUUGGUGGGGUAACGGCCCACCAAGGCGACGACGGGUAGCCGGCCUGAGAGGGCGACCGGCCACACUGGGACUGAGACACGGCCCAGACUCCUACGGGAGGCAGCAGUGGGGAAUAUUGCACAACGGGCGAAAGCCUGACGCAGCGACGCAGCGUGAGGGACGAAGGCCUUCGGGUUGUAAACCUCUUUCAGCGGGGACGAAGCGCAAGUGACGGUACCCGCAGAAGAAGCACCGGCUAACUACGUGCCAGCCGCCGCGGUAA